ensembl:snoRNA
CCACACGAUGACAGACAUUUCUUCACUUUGACCUGACAGAUGGUGAAGAGACCCAUGGUAUGAGG